rnacentral:misc_RNA from 1 species
GGAGGAGUAUAAUAAGAGAUCGAACGCCCAUCUGACGCUGGUAAAGCUGGUGAAGGGCGAACAGCAGGUGGUUUCAGGGAUGAAUUACCGGCUGAUAUUGGCGGUAAAAGAGGGAAAAGCCAGCAAGAAGUAUGAGGCGGUGGUUUGGGAGAAGGCGUGGGAGAAUUUCAGGAAUCUAACGUCGUUUGAGCCUGUAGAAGGGUAAUUCUGUGAUUUCAUGUGUAAAAGAUAUUUUUUCUUUUUC